UGAGGAAUAUUGGUCAAUGGACGGAAGUCUGAACCAGCCAAGUAGCGUGCAGGAAGACGGCCCUAUGGGUUGUAAACUGCUUUUGUAUGGGGAUAAAGUCAAUCACGUGUGAUUGUUUGCAGGUACCAUACGAAUAAGGACCGGCUAAUUCCGUGCCAGCAGCCGCGGUAAUACGGAAGGUUCGGGCGUUAUCCGGAUUUAUUGGGUUUAAAGGGAGCGUAGGCCGGAGAUUAAGUGUGUUGUGAAAUGUAGACGCUCAACGUCUGACUUGCAGCGCAUACUGGUUUCCUUGAGUACGCACAACGUUGGCGGAAUUCGUCGUGUAGCGGUGAAAUGCUUAGAUAUGACGAAGAACUCCGAUUGCGAAGGCAGCUGACGGGAGCGCAACUGACGCUGAAGCUCGAAGGUGCGGGUAUCGAACAGGAUUAGAUACCCUGGUAGUCCGCACAGUAAACGAUGGAUGCCCGCUGUUGGUACCUAGUAUCAGCGGCUAAGCGAAAGCAUUAAGCAUCCCACCUGGGGAGUACGCCGGCNACGGUG
rnacentral:rRNA from 1 species